rnacentral:tmRNA from 1 species
UAAAUGGCAAUACUCAGUAUGCCAUGGCUGCCUAAUCAGUGAUUAAGUAGUCAUUAGGGCCGCCGGGCCGGUUGUUCUGUUACCAUGCCCCGCCGCCGACUUAAAAACAAAACAGGAUGCUGCAAUCAAAGGCUGUGCUGAUUGCUUAAGACCAUACAGCUAAGGAAGUAAUCGGUUGUCUGUUUCCAGUUCCUUCCCGACAUAAUAAAAUAGAAUAAACAUGUAGAAAGCUUUCGACGAAUAUGUUUGGACACCGGUUCGACUCCGGUCGCCUCCACAC